UAAACAUAAGUGCAGGAUAAACUAUUUUACAGUAAAGUAGAAUUAUUUUCAGCUUUAAAGAUGUUUUUUAUAAUGGAUGUUGGGGUUCAGAUGUCAUCAUUGUAGUAAUCAGAUAAUAUGGCAGUAGUUGUCAAGUUUUGUCAGGUUUGUUUCCACUGUGAAGUUUGAACUGGAUUUCACUCAAAGAGCCUUUAAUUUAGUUGACUCAUCUUUAUUUUUUGUAUGAUGGACCACAAAGCACACAGGUG